ensembl:lncRNA
ACUGCUGUACUCCCAACUGUGCUCAUGGGCAGAGGACUGCUGGCUCUGCUCUUCCACCAGCACCACUCACUGCAGCCCAUGGGCAUCAGGACAUGGCCCACUGCUCCAUGGAACACCACCACGUCUGGGUAUCCUGCUGUACGGAGGAGGUUUGUUAUUUGCAAGGUGUAAUGAUGCAGUGCACGGGGCAGGGAGCGAGUGCCUCCUGUGUCCCACUGUGCACCACUUGUCAGUCCUCCACCAACUGCCUGUAUUCCCUGUGCUCGCUUUGUCUGCCUUAUUGCCUUGGAUCAGUGCUCCCUGGAGAACAGCCCACUCCCUUGCUGUGCAGAGCACCUUGGAGGCCCGGCUGCACCUGCGUUUCCAGGAGCAAAAUGAAGCAAUUACAAAUUGUUACUCUCGUUUUUGGCAAUUUCAUGCAGAAGUUCUGUUUUUCUUCAAAGCUAAAGGUGCAGCAGGAGCUGCUGGACUCUCCGCAUCACCCACCUUCUCAGGUACAUCUGGUCCUACAGGGAACAGCCAGCACUGGUUCUUUCUGUGGCUGGGGAGCCAAGGCUGAGUAACAAACCACCCGUGAGCAAGACAGCCAGCUACAGCCCUCCCAGAUGAAACCCAGAAGCUGCUCAGCUAUUCCAGCCCUUGCACGUCUCGGGUCAUGUUCCUUCAAGCAUGCAGCUGACUUGUGCUUCUUUCUGAAAACAGCAGUACCGCGGUCCCACGCAGCACAAAGUCCCCAUGGAGGACCCACGCUGCCCUCACCCUCAGCAUCACCACGAUUCAGCCAAUGGUUGGGCUUUACACUACAGAGAUACAGCUCUGACCAAACUUUCUUCACCUGCUCUGAUCGUUUCAGCUCUUCGGGGACACACACCUUCAUGCCACUGUCCAACUAAUUAGUUGCUUCACUGGCUGCAUUCUGCAAUUCUUCAGUGAUGGGUCCCCAUCUGACAUCUUAUGACAACUGAUUAGUAAAGUAGGCCACGAGUUUAAGAAAUAUGUAAUUUGGGCACCACUUACUAUUAACUAUUUGCUUGCUCUCUCUCUUUUUUUUUUUUUUUUUUUUUUUUUAAGAGAUUGUUUCUCUUGAAAGUAAAUAUGAAAGGAUGAGAAAAAGUUGGUGAAUUGGCAAUUUUUCAAAGUGACAUGCUGUAAAUUUAAAGCCUUGGAUUAAUAAAACACCCUGAAGAGGCAAUAAGGGAAUAUAUGUCCUUACUGCAAUGCCAUAUUUUACAGAAGUCUGGGUAUCAAAGCAACAUCCAGAAUUGCUGGUCUAUCCUGUAUUCUGAGGCCAGAACCACAGGCAAGCUAAUCAAUUAGUUGGAACUGAGUCAAAACAAACUGUUUCCAGCCCAGGUCCCCCCUGCCCGCAGAGCAGAAAAGAAACAAUAAAUAGAAUUUUGAGGUUUAAACACGACAAAAAGUCCUUUCCAGGUUAAAAGGAUAUCAGCACACUACAGCACCACAGCGGUUAAAUGUCGUAGAAGAUUUGACUGCACUUGGUCUGGGAUUUGCUCUCGCUUGAGAGCUGGUCAAACCAAUCUUUCCAAAACACUGACUUCUGAACUUUUGCCAGAGGUGCCUCUCUCCGGUGACCACGCAGGCGGAUUUACCCGGCGACAUGUUAAACCUGUCAGCUCAGAAUAAGCAGAAAAGUGUGCACCCGUUGUGGGGAGGGUGGUUAAAGGCACAGCGUUUCCUUUGCUGGGUGAGCUGAAGGGCCUCUGUGUGCAUCAGGGGGAUGGGGAAUGUUUGGGAAGAGCGGUGGGACCCCACUGCCAGCAGCACGGGACACACUUUGCUGGAGUGGAGAGAUUUUUUCUUUUAAUCUGUCCUUCCUCAAAGACAGAAGUCUGCUCUUGCAAUGUGAUGCACAAUUCAGCUUUGGGGAAGUCUGAUGCAGCUCCUUGUGGUUCCCAUGGGCCCUGUCUCUGUCACAAAAGAGCAGAGCUCAGCGCUGUUCCUCCACUCCCUGUGAGGAUCUGCAGGCUGUCAUGAAGACCUAUAGGGCUGCCAUGAGGAGCUGUAGGGCUACCACUCAGCCUCUCUUCUCUGGGCUGAACAAAUAGUUAAAGUGUGAUACGGAAAGGUGCUAGCCUAGCACAAACUGGACUCACACCAGACCCACAGCUGAAGCAGCUCUGCUGCCACAAGCACGAGGUCCUCUCCUGGAAACGGAAAGAUCCUUCUAGGUCUCACUGCAUUUAUGUAUCACUCCUUACACUGGGCACUGACAGUCUCACCUGCAAGAGGCAACAUGAGUCCAGAGCAAAGUCUGAGCCUGUAUCUUUACCCUGGGGUAUCAAAUCAGCCAAGACACUCCUCCAGAUCUUUCAGAUCUUUCAUCUUACACAUGCAAGCAAGUGUAAGUGUUCUCUAUGCUGGCAAGGCACAAAGAACAUGCAUCUCUACUUUUCAACUUACACAGUCAUACCAAUACCAGGAUGAGGGACCAGUGCUGAGGCAAGAUAAGCUGAGACACACACAAUAGGCAGGUGAAGCUGAACCCAAGUGAGACAGAUGUCAGUAUGCACAGGAGAGAAUGCGGAAAAUUUUAUGGCUAAGGAACACAGUUGUGACUGAGACCACAUUUCAAAAAUAGGUAAAGAAUCCACAAGCACAUUCAGCUCUCACAUAGCAGCGAUUAACACUUCCAGCCAACUCCAGUUGGUUGGAAGACUGCAUCCCAUGCUGGCAGAUACUGACCUGGCCUUAAGCUUUUCACACUUUGGUCACUUGGUUGUAUUACAGCAAACUGAUAUACCCAGGUACAAAGCUUUCAACACUUGGGAAACUUCAAAUAGCACAAAAUGUUACAGAAAACCUCUUCAGUGAUAUGCACUGCCACAAAUACAUCCCAUCUAUCUUCAGCUGUCUACAAUAGCUUCAGAUCUUUGAUUUGGAGACAUGUUCAAGUAUUUGGCUCCUUUCCUUCUGAUUCUCCUUGGCCUGAAGCUAGGAUAUCUAGAAAACUGCAUGAGACUAUUGAAUAAAGGCUAUGGUCAGGAAUUGUGUUUCUCAAGUGCAGUAGAAGUCUUUACAGUAGGAGGAAUGCUCAUCUAGGUUGGAGAUUGAACUUUUGUGUAGACAUGGUACAUACUGGUUUAAUCAUAGAUGACUCUGUGUGCUGUAAACAGAAGUCACCCCAUCCAGUCAAGAGUGCUUGCAAUUGCUUGGUGAAUAGGUAGUAUAAAAUUAAAUACAUCAGAGAAACUUUGGAAGACGACCCUCAGCACAGCUUCAGUUCGAAUUCAGUUGUAGAUACUCCUCUCAUUGGAAUUCAUGGCUCACGCAGAGCCCACCUUCAAUCAAAGCUGAUGCAAGUAAACAAAUAAAAGUUGUGGGUUCCUGCAAGAGAGUCAGCAAACUGCAAAGAGUAUUCCCAAGUGAUCUGUUUUUUUGUGUCUCCCAUUUAUAGCCAGAGUUAACAGAAAGUCAAUGUUUAGUUUGUUUCGGAUGAGUAAAAACUAGACCACUACAUUUGUUCAGACCUGCCAGGGGUGGUUAUGUCUCACCAAAGUGAGAUCUCACUUCUCCCAGAUCUGACGAUUUUGAACACAGAUCAAAGAAUUCUGUCCGUAAUGACAGGAAAACUAUAGAUACCAGUGGCUUGAAGGUGAAUCAUAAAAAACUUGUUUUUCUGCUUUACUCCUUGAUUUGUCUGAAUAAUACCAGUAAAAAGGAGAAGCUGCUAAUGCCUGGCCAAAGAAAAGAGCAUAUGAAUAUCUCUUCUAAUACGUCCUCAUAAAGAGGACUCCCUUAGAGAUACCAUGAAGUGCAAUCUUCCCAAAGAAAUUUGUUUUUGUGAGAUAUAAAUGUGUGUUUGGUCAGAGUUUUGGCAAACAACUCGAGCUAGUUUUUGUCCUAUGUGAGCCUUUUACGUCAUGCCCUAGAAACAACAACAGCUGUUAAUUAUUUAUCAGCUGAUGAACAUUGGCCUGUUAAUUGCAAAACAUUAUAAAAUAGAUUAAGCAGAAAAGCUUGAUAUGUAUGCAAGCAGGGUUUUUUUUUGCUCUGUUUUGUAUGUGACUUGAUUAAAUAAGAAAUUUCAGGUCUCUGCUCAGUUUUCAAGGAUUGGCUUUGCCAGGGAUUUGAUCUCAGAAGCUGCAAAGAUAAAUUUGCUAAAAAUAGGAAGAUUUUUAAGACAUUGAGCUUUUUGAGAACUUAUCACCAACUCUCAUCUGUUGUGAAGAUGAACUCUCUAAAAUCUCCAGCGUACCAUGCUUUGAACCAAAACAACUAAUGUUCUAAUGGAAGGGGAAGCACUAAUAUGUAAGGAGAAGAUCACAAGAUUCAAGAGAUUUUCUCCAUCCUUCUUCCUGCCAAGUCUCAGUAUUCAUGUAGAAUGUGAUAUUUUUGUCUUUCAAUACUAUUUAGCCAUGCAUAAGAGCAUUUAAGACAGUAACUCACCUGCAUUAUAGGUUCUACUUGCUCCUCUCUUUGCAGACAAGAAAACCACGAUUGACUCUACUAGUCAAAUAAAAUGUUCCAAUUUUUCCUAGCAUUUCCAUUGUGCUAGUAGAGUAUUUUCAUCUUAUUAAGUUGGCCCCAGUUUACGACAGUCUAUUUCAUGCGGUUAUACCAGAGUGAUCUGUAAGUAUACACAAGAGGUGUUUCAAUGGGCUGUGCGUGACUACCUGGCAAAAGAGCUCCAUGAAGGUUAUCCAUGCCAUGCCAUACCAUGCCAGAAAUUUUUGCUGUGCAUUACAACAAGCGGUCUGUGUUUGAUGUU